AGGCCUUUGGCUCUCCGUGGAGCGAGCAAGUCCUGGAGAAAAUGUGUUAGGGCGGCACCAGGUCUUACCUUUUCCUUGGUGUACACAGAUAUUCCAAGGCAGGGUGACGUCUGGUGCGGAUCCACGCCUUGGGAACCUCCUCACUCUCAUAACUCCUUCCUUUCACCAUCUCAGUGCCACGCUACCAAGGAUUGCAGGUGGAGCUAGGUGACGAGAACACGUGCCGGAGAGCCCACGGUAGUCUGGCUGUGGCUGAGGCAAAUUCAAGUGCAUUAGGAUUUCCAAACGCUCUCAAGUAAAUUUUUAAUGCGCUUUUGCAUUCAGAUACAGCUAACUGAAGAGCCGAGUUGAGUUUCUCCUGCUGGAACCCAAGGUGAAACUCCUCAGAACGUCAGUGGAGCCAGCCCUUAAUUUCUAGUGCCGGUUUCAGAUCACCAAAGCCCGCUGUUCCCUCAGAGCCAUCUGCAGAUUCGUCAUUUCCAGUCUUUGAUCCCUGGCUGCCGGCACCGUGGAAAUCCACCGGUUCCUGCUCCGGUCUCCGAUCGGAUGUGAUUUUGUCUGGAGGCUUCGCCCGAGCCCUCGCUGCUGGAGCCGUGAGCCGUGGAAAGGUGGGAUCUGCGUGCUUGCAGCAGCAAGAAGCCGUGGUAUUUCAUGCUGCCCUGGUUCUGUAGGCUCCUACAAAUCAACUUGAUCUCCUCCUGAAAGCAAAACCUGACCACGGGUGGAGUUUAAAUCGAUAUAAAGGAUCCAGCUCGCAGCGACCUGAGCUGAAGUGGGAUUCAGGGCACUCGCUGUGUGACCUGGGCAGGUCGUUCUGUCCCCCCCGUACCUCACUUCCCACUUGGGUAAAACCCAGAAAAGCUGAGAGGUGUUGCCUGGGAAGCGCCGCGACACUUUGAAAUGAGCAAUGACACCGUUUGACACGCCUACAAAUACACUUUAUAAUUGCAACUUCACUGUGUAACGUGCGUGUUCCAACAAACUGGCUCUGUACGGAUACCGCUUUUACAUACCGCCGCUCUGAAGUAAACCAAAAUUGAGCGGAGUGUUUUGGUUUCACCCCUCGAAAACCCAUUUUGCUGGGAACGUUGCAUUCAGGGGCAGGGGGUGCGUCAACAUCGAGGCAGCAGGUUUCCCUCGACAGCGAGCAAGUAAUCAAAAGCGAGGCUGGUGUGCAGUUGGAUACAAAUAACGAGCAGCAUAGCAAUAACAGGCCCCGAUAAAUAAAUAAAAGGAAACCUGCCUGUUGUCAGAAGAAUUGUAGGCUCCUGGGAAUUGAAAUCCGCAGCCUUUUUAUCACUGUGCCGUGAGAUGAAAUGUCUCUUCCCUGCUUUUAUUUUAUUUUCCCCAACUUCUUUGCUCUUGGACUGAAAGAAAUUACCCCGAUUUGCAUGCUGCGGGGUGGGGGAUUGCAGCUAUCGGAUGGCAGCGUGUGGUGUACACAGACAGGAGCUGCGAAGGCAAAGGGGAGCCGGAGGAACUGUAGGCAGCUCGUGCUGACCCCGAGACCUGGACCCGCUCUCAUUUUCAGACUCGUUUUUGGGCUAACCCCCACGGUGUAGAGGCGCGAACCGCUCUGGAGAAGGACGCGUGCCGAGUGAGUUGAAGGCUGACGUUUUAACGAGGGAAAUGCUUUAACUGCGCGUGGCUUAUUUCCCCCUCAGGCUGAUCCUUAUUAUUUUUCCAUAUAAAGGGAAACAGGAGGGCUAUCAGCAGCUGCAGCCGGGGUGUAUGGCAUCUGAAGGCAAACCUUAGCGCGAAGACCGGAUUUGCUCCGCACCGGAUAGCUGAAGGAAGCUGCGUCUUGAUAAGAAGGGGCCAAACUCUGCGUGGUUCUUGAGCCUGGUGGGAUCGUGACCUGCUUCUGCCACCGCCACCCGGACCUCCCCGCUCCUUGCCCAGCGUGAGGAGGCAGUGUGUGCCCUACAGGUAGGGAAGGGACCGAGCGUUGAUGCCAUCAGCCUCCUCCGCCAGCUUUCCCACCUCCUCCCGGCCCACCCAGUCCUUCUCCCCGUAGCUCUCCUCCUCUUCUCAAACCUCCAGUGCAAGCGGUUGUGUUUCCAGAGCUGCCAGCUUUCCUGCUUUAAGUCUUCGAGUAAAAAGGUUUGAUGCAUCCCCGAAGGCA